ACCUGAAGAAUAUAUUAACACGUAAUAAAAUCUUGGAUCAAGAAAAAUAUCAUAACUUGUAAACAUAUAUACUAGGAAGUGUUGGCAAACAAUCAUACAUAAGUUAUGAUAAAUCUUAAUCGCUACUAAAGCCUUUGCGAUUUUGUUGUUUAUGUAAUAAAAUUUAUAUUCUUAUAAUUGUUUGGCCUCUUCUUGAAGCUAACAU